AUCACCCAGGGAUCUUGUUAAAAUGAAGACUGUGAUUCAGUAGGUCUGGGGUGGAACUUGAGAUUCUGCAUUUUUAACAAGUUCCCUGUGAUGCUGA
rnacentral:pre_miRNA from 1 species